UGCAAAGCUGUGUACUCAGACACUGCCUGUCAGGCCAAGUGACUUGUCAAAUCAAAGCCUUCUUGAGCAUGCAGCUCUCCCUCUUCCUUUCUCAAAGGGAAGAGUUCCUUCUCAAAGAGCUCUUUCCCCAGUCCCUGCAUUUCCAGGAUCACAAAGCAGAACUGCCAGCAAAUCAGAAAUAUACAGAUAUGCCAGAGCUUUGGAUUUAAAAUAGUGGAUAAAAAAAUGAAAUAGAAACAAAAUUGGCAGCCAAUAAGAUUAUGAGAAAAUAAAUGCAGCUAAAUUGUAAAAUUGAGGGGACACCUGAAUGCUUCACAGAAUAUUUAAAUAAUUGCGCAUAUGUGUCCAAGGACAAACAGCGGAAUUGUGGGUCCUUUCAGUGCCUUCUGUGAAAAAGGAAAACAGUAUGCUUUCAAUUGUUCAGAGCUCUUUACAUUCUUUAUACCACCUUGUAUACUACUCUUCCAUUGCAUUGUCUAUGGAAAACAAAUAAAAAAUAAACCCACAAAAAAACAAAACUCAGCUAGGAUGAGCAUGAAUACACAAUGUUACCUCAAUUAGAAAAUAUUGUUCUCUCUAACCACUUGCAGACAUGAAUAUAAAAAGCACAUUUUCAGCUUGAGUCAGAUUCAGAAGUGGUGUAAAUGCAGGAGUUCGUUAUACUUUGUGCACGUAUAUCUGCACAGCUGGAUGUCAGUAUUACAGGCUGCUUGCAGUAUUUCCUAUGCCAUCAUUGUUUAUUUUCCUCUUUUUCUUAUUUUUUUCUUUGUUAUGAUGUUUUUCUUACGUGUAACUUUCUUUAAGGAAAUGGGGAUUAUCUUCAAAGAAAUGAGUAGAGAUGAGGUCUAUCUGCUAGUUCUAUACUGUGGGUUCACCACAGAUAUCAUUAAUGCUUUCUUUAUUGAGUCUCAAGGUGAGAUGUGAUGGCAUCUCUGUUACUGCAACAGACUAGUGGAGUUCUCCAUCAUUAAUCUUUAUGUAACUUUUAUUUUAAAACCUUCUGUCCUUUAUUAGCAUCCUCACACAGGGCUUCAG
ensembl:lncRNA